rnacentral:lncRNA from 1 species
UUACCAUAAUUAUGAAAUAAGCUAAUUACUCCAGUUCGUAGCAGAUAUUCCUUUUAGCAUAUUACCCAGUUCUCUCUACAAUAAUGGGAGAUUCCAAGCAAGAGAUAAUUUGAGAGAUAAAAACAAAUACACCCUGGCAGAUCACCAAGCCCUUGGCACCAAAUAAGCAAAUGCUUCGGCACAAUUGCAAACAUCCCUAGCGACAAUAAGAUAUGACUGACGAUGCUGAAGUUCCAAAAAUGACCAAGCACACUCACACACCAACCCUACGCAUGCAAGGGCAUUUUGUAUGAAUAUCUGGUCGUGCCAACUCUUUGACCUGUACAGUUUUAUCCAAACUGCUCAAGAAUAUUUUGUUACACUUAACUGCUCAAGAAUAUUUUGUUACACUUAACUGCUCAAGAUGUGUAGACCCUUCUAGUGAAAACAGGGGGAAUAUGGCAUGUAUGCCCAAAGAACUCAAUAGCAACCACUCAAAGGACAUGAUGUUUUUGCACCCCCAGCUCAGCUCGGGUGAACAGUAAAUUCGAAAAAUAUUGUAAAAAUAUUCAAAAAAAUCUGUUUUUUUAGAAAACUUUGACAAAUGUUCUAAGUGUCCAGAAAUUUCA